rnacentral:rRNA from 1 species
UACGGAGGGUGCAAGCGUUAUCCGGAUUCACUGGGUUUAAAGGGCGCGUAGGCGGUCAGGUAAGUCAGGGGUGAAAUCUCCGAGCUUAACUCGGAAACUGCCGUUGAUACUAUUUGUCUUGAAUAUUGUGGAGGUAAGCGGAAUAUGUCAUGUAGCGGUGAAAUGCUUAGAUAUGACAUAGAACACCAAUUGCGAAGGCAGCUUACUACGCAACGAUUGACGCUGAGGCACGAAAGCGUGGGGAUCAAACAGG